AUAAUACUUUGUUACGAAAUUCUAUAGAUAGCUAAUAUAAUUUUUUUUGAUAAUUCAUUGUUUUAAAUAUGAUUAGCAAUAGAUUUUUGUUGUUUAGCGAUCAGAGUUGUCCGCCGCGGUUUGUUUUUUAGUGGGUAAUAAAAAGAUCUAGUUUAAUAGUAAGUUAAAAUAUCAUUUUUGUAAUAUUUUUUUUACACUCGACACAUUUUCAUCUUAUACGAUACUUAAUUCUAUAUACAAAGGUUUGAAGGUCGAGGAAAUAUUGGAUUAGGACAAAUAGGAAGUAGGUAGCCGUGGUGUUGGAGUACUUUUACGAGGAAGAGACAGGGAGCUAGUCUCGUCUUUUUGAUGCAUAACUGUCAGUUAUCUUGCUAUUUGAUUGUCAUUAUUUUCUUGUCAAUCGUGUUUUUAUUAUAUAUUUUUUUGAGUUGGAGGUCUAUAGGCAACAACGUGAAGGUGGAGGUAACGUUUGCGUACAUGCUACACUCCUCAGACUUCAGUUUGUGAGAAUAUGUUGUGGUUGAUUCUAAUUUUGUUCUGUUUUCAUUCAUGUGUGUUUUGCAGUAUUUGUGAAUGGAAGAUUUUGCAAAGACGCAAAGCUAGCAAAUGCAGAUGAUUUCUAUGCAUCAGGUUUCAAUGUAAGUGGAAUGCCAACACCAACAAAUCUUGGUUUUUCUGUGAAUGCAUUGAACGUAAAUCGAAUGCCAGGACUGAACACUCUAGGCAUUUCGAUGGCUCGUGCUGAUCUUGAACCCUUUGGAUUGAUCUCACCACACAUUCAUCCUCGAGCAACGGAGCUAAUACUCGUAUUGGAAGGUACUAUCUACGUUGGAUUUGUUGUUCCUGAUACACGAAAUCCUUUCAAAUCGAGGCUAUUCGAUAAGAUCUUACAUCCAGGGGAUGCUUUUGUCAUCCCACAAAGUAUGGUUCACAUUCAAUACAAUUUGGGAACCACAAAUGCAACACAUUUGAGUAGUUUCAAUAGCCAAAAUCCUGGAGUACACAUGAUCUCUUAUCAACUAUUUGGUUCAAAUCCACCAAUUCUUGAUGAUGUUCUUGUUAAAGGGUUUCAAUUGGAUAAGAAAGUAGUUGAUCAUCUUCGAGCUCAGUUUUCGAGCAAAUCGUGAACAUGUUUGUCAAAAAUUUAAUGAGACAAGUUCUUGUUUGUUCAUACUUGUUGUUAGUGCAGA
rnacentral:misc_RNA from 1 species